GCGCCUUUAGCUCAGUUGGUAGAGCAGUAGACUCUUAAUCUAUUUGUCCGGGGUUCGAGCCCCCGAAGGCGCACUA
rnacentral:tRNA from 4 species